ACCCAUAUCCAUCCAAAAUAAUAGACCAGAGUGCUCCACAAUAAAAGCCACCACCAAUUAGCUAUUAAGUUUGCCUCCUAAAAAAUAUGUUGAUGGUGAUGUUCACACAGUCAAUCAAUGAGAGCGCUAUGCCUCGUAGAAGGGGAUGGGCGAUAUCACCCCACACACACACCCUCGAAUCCAAGUCACAAUCGUGGCUGAAUCACCC
rnacentral:lncRNA from 1 species